rnacentral:rRNA from 1 species
GGAGAAAAGCAGGGGAUCGCAAGACCUUGCGCUUUUGGAGCGGCCGAUGCCUGAUUAGCUUGUUGGUAAGGUAAAAGCUUACCAAGGCUUCGAUCAGUAGCUGGUCUGAGAGGACGGCCAGCCACACUGGGACUGAGACACGGCCCAGACUCCUACGGGAGGCAGCAGUGGGGAAUUUUGGACAAUGGGGGCAACCCUGAUCCAGCCAUGCCGCGUGAGUGAAGAAGGCCUUCGGGUUGUAAAGCUCUUUCAGCCGGAACGAAACGGUUACGGUUAAUACCUGUGACUAAUGACGGUACCGGAAGAAGAAGCACCGGCUAACUACGUGCCAGCAGCCGCGGUAAUACGUAGGGUGCGAGCGUUAAUCGGAAUUACUGGGCGUAAAGCGUGCGCAGGUGGUUUUGUAAGUCAGAUGUGAAAUCCCCGGGCUCAACCUGGGAACUGCGUUUGAAACUACAAAGCUAG